UACGAAGGGGGCUAGCGUUGCUCGGAAUUACUGGGCGUAAAGCGCACGUAGGCGGGUUCUUAAGUCGGUGGUGAAAUCCUGGAGCUCAACUCCAGAACUGCCUUUGAUACUGAGGAUCUUGAGUACGGGAGAGGUGAGUGGAACUGCGAGUGUAGAGGUGAAAUUCGUAGAUAUUCGCAAGAACACCAGUGGCGAAGGCGCUCACUGGCCCGUUACUGACGCUGAGGCACGAAAGCGUGGGGAGCAAACAGG
rnacentral:rRNA from 1 species